CGAACGAGAAUGAGGGGGCAACUCCUCUAGUAAAGUGGCGGACGGGUGCGUAACACGUAGGUAAUCUACCUUCCGGCGGGGGACAACAGUCCGAAAGGAUUGCUAAUACCGCAUACGUCGGCGGGAUCUCCGGAUCCUGUCGGGAAAGACGGCCUCUCCUUGGAAGCUGUCCCCGGAAGAUGAACCUGCGGCCCAUCAGCUAGUUGGUGAGGUAAUGGCUCACCAAGGCUAAGACGGGUAGCUGGUCUGAGAGGAUGAUCAGCCACACUGGGACUGCGACACGGCCCAGACUCCUACGGGAGGCAGCAGUGGGGAAUAUUGGGCAAUGGGCGGAAGCCUGACCCAGCCACGCCGCGUGAGUGAUGAAGGCCUUCGGGUCGUAAAGCUCUGUGGGGAGGGACGAAUAAGUCCGGUAUCAAUACCACCGGGCCCUGACGGUACCUCCUUAGCAAGCACCGGCUAACCAUGUGCCAGCAGCCGCGGUAAUACAUGGGGUGCAAACGUUGCUCGGAAUUAUUGGGCGUAAAGCGCACGUAGGCGGUUCGCUAAGUCGAAUGUGAAAGCCCCCGGCUCAACCGGGGAAGUGCAUCCGAAACUGGCGAGCUAGAGUACUAAAGAGGGUCGCGGAAUUCCCGGUGUAGAGGUGAAAUUCGUAGAUAUCGGGAGGAACACCAA
rnacentral:rRNA from 1 species